rnacentral:piRNA from 1 species
UGCACUUAAAUAGGGGCCAGCUCUUUGUGUU